UACGGAAGGCAGCAGUGGGGAAUAUUGCACAAUGGGCGAAAGCCUGAUGCAGCUAUGCCGCGUGUAUGAAGAAGGCCUUAGGGUUGUAAAGUACUUUCAUCGGGGAGGAAAAACAAAACUAAUAAUUUUAUUUCUUGACGUUACCCGAAAAAGAAGCACCGGCUAACUCCGUGCCAGCAGCCGCGGUAAUACGGAGGGUGCUAGCGUUAAUCAGAAUUACUGGGCGUAAAGAGCACGUAGGUGGUUUUUUAAGUCAGAUGUGAAAUCCCUGGGCUUAACCUAGGAACUGCAUUUUGAAACUGAAAUACUAGAGUAUCGUAGAGGGAGGUAGAAUUCUAGGUGUAGCGGUGAAAUGCGUAGAUAUCUGGAGGAAUACCUGUGGCGAAAAGCGGCCUCCUAAACGAAUACUGACACUGAGGUGCGAAAAGCGUGGGGAGCAAAACAGGGAUUAGAUACC
rnacentral:rRNA from 1 species